CCCAGACUCCUACGGGAGGCAGCAGUGGGGGAUAUUGCACAAUGGGGGGAACCCUGAUGCAGCGACGCCGCGUGGGUGAAGGAGUAUUUCGGUAUGUAAAGCCCUAUCGGCAGGGAAGAAGCAAGACGGUACCUGACUAAGAAGCCCCGGCUAACUACGUGCCAGCAGCCGCGGUAAUACGUAGGGGGCGAGCGUUAUCCGGAUUUAUUGGGUUUAAAGGGUGCGCAGGCGGAAGAUCAAGUCAGCGGUAAAAUGUCCGGGCUCAACCCGGGCCGGCCGUUGAAACUGGGGAUCUUGAGUGGGCGAGAAGUAUGCGGAAUGCGUGGUGUAGCGGUGAAAUGCAUAGAUAUCACGCAGAACUCCGAUUGCGAAGGCAGCAUACCGGCGCCCGACUGACGCUGAGGCACGAAAGCGUGGGUAUCGAACAGGAUUAGAUACCCCAGUAAG
rnacentral:rRNA from 1 species